UGUAAACCAUUUUAAUUUAGCUGCACACAUACUUGAGUUAUUUAUUAUUUUAAGUUGUUACAACUUCCUACAAAAUGGAGAGCCCCAUAUUCCGAACUAACAAUUAAUCACAGGUGAGAACAUCACAGUCAACAUAAUAUUUAGCCAGCAAACAAUUUUCUUAAAUGUGUAUUAAGAAAACAAAAGAUCAAUAAUCGAGCACCAACAACCACAAACAUGUUCAAACUCAAAUUGAAAACUUUAUUCCCAUAUGGAAUAAAAUAAAUGAUCAUAUUAUGUAAUGUACAUAUAAAUACAUUUUUGUUAAAAUAGCUUAAUGAUCCUAAUUAAAAUUUAUGUGCACCUAAUGUGGGUUUAUCAUGUUUGUGAUUUAGUGCUCAAUUAAUCGUGUAUCUUGUUUUCUUAAUAGCAAUUGUUGGCUGGCUAAUUAGGCCUAUUAUGUUGUGAUGUUAUUGAUCUCAUCUGUAAUAAUACUUGGAAAUAAUAAAAAUGUGUUCAAGAAUGCAUUUUACAUAUUUACUGCACUUUUAACCAAUAGCUUGUCUAAUAAAUACAUAAAUGACUUACAGAGACAUAUGUGGCAAUGUUUUAAUGACAUUCUCAAUUUUCUUUGCACAGUCCAUCAUCAGUGGCCAAAAGAAAUCAAAGUGGCUUGACAUAUUUUGCAAUCCUUCUGCCAAAACCAUGCUUGUGCCUGUGUACGUUGACAAUCAGGACCAAACUGAUGACUUACUUUCACCUCACUUCAUUUCUGGACAGGACACCCACACAGACUCACAGUGACACGAUCAAGUUUAUUAUGGAUGUCCUUUUUCCAGAGUCCAUCAUCUGUUCCCUUGCUGGUUUGUAAAAUCUCACCAUGCUGGAGGCUGAGGAGAAAUUUCUACAAGUCAUUGACAUACAAGUGAGCGGGAGCAGUUUGACAGGAGGAUUAAGA